GUCAGGAUGGCCGAGUGGUUUAAGGCGCCAGACUCAAGUUCUGGUCUCCGUAUGGUAGGCGUGGGUUCAAAUCCCACUUAUGACA
rnacentral:tRNA from 1 species